UCUGGGGGAAGCAGUUGACAGCGGGCAAGAGCUAGGCCGAAGUGGGUAAACAAAAACAAAACAUAUGGAAAAAAAGAGCGACAACAACUGGAGCGUUGUAUCUGAGUUUGUAUCUGCAGGAUGUGUGACGUUGUUCUAAAGUAGUCCGAGGCCCGCGAGAGGAGAAAGUCGUCAGCAAACAGAGGGCGUGCACCUGUCAGAGAUAAAUAGGUUAACGAGCUAACGUGUGCUAGCUGGUGGAAACCCCGCUCAGGUCAGCCAUGUCGUCCCCCUCCUCUUCCUCCAGGCGCCAGUGGUGCUACCUGUGCGACCUGCCGAAGAUGCCGUGGACUGUAGUGUGGGACUUCAGCGAGGUAGUGUGCCGUGGCUGUGUGAACUACGAGGGAGCUAAUCAGAUUGAGUUCCUGAUAGCGAGCGCCCGACAGCUGAAACGGACCCACGGGAUGCAGGACGGCAACGUCAGGUCACCUGGUCCUUCUCCGAACAAGCACGGCACAUCUGGCAGAGGAGAGGCUGCGGCGGACGGAGGCAGGCCGCACACGGACCGCUUCGAGAGGGGAGGAAGAGGGGAAAGUACCGGCUCGGCUGUUCGCGUACCGCCCAACGGGUUGCACCGCGACGGGCAGCCGCCUCAAGAAGUGAACCGCCAGAGCCCGAGCGGCAGCCGGAGACCCAUGCUCGGUGCUGCCAUCCCGCCUAGUCUAGUAACUCAAAGUAUUGCGGGGAUUCCCCAUGGGCUUCUUGCAGGCAUGCCGGCGGGUCUGACCGCCAGGACAGCCCCCAUGAGCAGCCCCAUGAUCUUCCCUGCGCCGGUGCUGGCCGAGAUGAGCCGCAGACAGCUGGGGAUAGGGAUGGGGAUAGCCCCCUUUAUCACUCCGGAGCUGGAGCGAGAGCUUAGUUCGUCCCAGAACCAGCCCAAGACACAGACGCAGGUCCACACUGCUGUGGCUGGCAGCAGCGGCGGCAGCAAGACUACAGGCCUCCCGUCUUCGUCCUCUUCCAUGGCUGGAGGCGUGAGCCAGACGAGCCCCAAGCCUGCCUCAUCUCCAGCUAGGCAGCCACGCCCCCUAGCCGCGAGGUCCGGAGGGGAGCCCCUGGGAUCCAGCACCUCCGCAGAGGCAGCCACCACUGCUGCAGCAUUACCCCACAGUGGUGCCUCUGAGCUGGGGUCCGCGUCUGCCAGCAACAGCCACUCAGCUGGAAACACUCUGUCCUGCACCUUGUGUCACCAGAGGCUGGAGGACACACACUUUGUUCAGUGUCCAUCAGUGCCAGGACACAGGUUCUGCUUCCCCUGCACCAGAGUGUACAUCCAGAGCAGGCGGGGCGAUGGAGAGGUGUACUGCCCCAGCGGAGAGCGCUGUGCGUUGGAUAACUCUCCCAACAGUCCCCCUUGGGCCUUCAUGCAGGGGGAAGUCUCCACCAUACUGGGCAACCCUGGAGCAGGGGCUGCAUCUUCUGCCGCCUCUGGAGCCGGGACCGGGCCCGGACCUGGAGCCGCGGGUGCGUCCGCAUCCGGGGCCGGGGGUGGACCCGCCAGUGGAGCCGGAGCUGGAGGUGGAGAUGUCACCGUCAAGAAAGAGAGAGAGACGUGAUGGUGAUUUUCAAUGGAAACCAGGACCCAACACAGCAACAGGCAGGUCCACAGACAGAGACUAGCACCUGUAGUCUGAAGUCUGGCAACAGUUUGCAUUGUGAGACUAUUUUACAGGAAAGCUCCUUAGUUUACUCUGUCUACAGAGUUGUAUCACACACCAGAGGGAGAUGUGUGCACUGGACCGCUGAGAGAUCCAGAAGAGACGCAACACAGCGACACACAGUUCAGCUCCAUUGCACAGGUCUUAACUCCACCUGCUCACACCACCAAAUACUAUCUGCAUCAUCAGACCUCGCCAGAUACCUGACUAAAGUGGCAAAGACUACCAUCACAUACUGUAAUUAUUGUUCUAGUUUCUUUUUUUUUUUUUUUUUAAAGCCAAGUUUGACUCUUUAAAACUUAAGUACUACAUUUCUGAUGUACCGAGAAUGUGAAAAUUAAAUGUCAUUGAUCGCAUUAAAUUUCCCCCGUGCAUCCUGUGCAUUUCAAGCUCAAUCUCGCCAAAUCUCGACAACAAUCUCGGUGAAAUAACGCCACAACUUUCCCAAGACAGCGACUGACGUAACCGAGCAUUAAUAUUAAAACGUCCCUCACCGUGUACUGCUGGAAUCAGACAACCAGGACCAAUCAACAGCUGAACACUGGCUGCUUUUUGUGGAGGUAGUAGUUGUCGGGCCAGUUGAAACAACUGUGUGUAUGUAGUCACGCCUGCGUUAGUACUGCCAGCGAGCUACUGUUAGCAGCUGGAAAUAAAUGGGCUGAAGAAACACAGAUUACACCAGUUUUCAACAAGAUUUUCUACACACAAAAAAAACUUGAACCACCAUUACAAUCAUUUCAAAGAUGCCAUAGUCCCUUACAAAGUAUUCACAGAAACAAACAGUGCCAACAGGACCACUGAAAUGUCAGUAUUUCUCAAUAUGGCCAUCAAUGUAUUAAUAUAUAAUUGGCAUUGGUUUUAUUUUAUUUACUUGUCAUCAGACCUAACACAGGUAUGUCUAUUGUUUCAAAGUACCCUUCCUAAACUCCCAGAAAGUAGCCAUGGCCCAGUGUUUGUUGUAACGGUACACUCAAUAUUGUGUUUGCACAGGGAAAGCACAAAAGCUUGCUUCGACAAAUCCAACGCAAAUGUUGAAAUAGUAAAAGAGUAACCACGGUUGCUUCGUCGCCACUGUCCCUCGGUGAUGAGCGGCUGGCCGGCAGUGUGCAGCAGUGGGUCAGAUAUCAGACUGCUCACAGACACAUACAGGCUGUUCUCAGUCCGAACCAGUUGGAACUUGACUGUCUCGGGGAAAAAAUGCCAUUUUCUCUGCCAAUGAUUGGUCUAAAUGAAAUAUUUGUGCUUCUACGAACACAAUUUACAACAACUGACAUGAAAUAGAUGUUAUGAUAACAAAGUGUACCUUAAAUUUGAAAUACAGAUGAAUUGUUUUUAUUGUUUCGUGACUGAAUCCGUGUCCCGGCGCAGAUUCUUUUUUUAAUUUUAUUUUUUUAAACAAAUGGGAAAAAAAUUCUCCAGUGAAACACGUGAACGUGCAAACCGACAUGAGAUGUGGACAGAAUGCCAGUCGUGACAUUUCUCUGUGUGUUUUGUUUUUUCCGUCAGCUUUAAAUAAAGUUGACUUUGACUCAGAGAAAGGAGAAUGUUUUGCUGUGUACAAACAACCAGUUAUCUGUCUGUCCUCGACCAGCCACAGAGACCCUGUGUUUGGCUGUAUUUAAAUGUUGCUUUCAUACAAGAUCCAGCCCAGCCUACGCUUUACCCCGAAUGUAUAUGAAAAGAUAUCUAUUGAUAGGCCUAGGACUAUAUUUUAUACUAGAAUGUUAAAUGUUAUAUACUCUAUAGAUCUCUAAUAGUAUGUAUGUGCAAUCCUUCGUCAUAGUAUAUGCAACAGUUUGGACUAUGUAAUUAUCAUUUCUCAAACCUUUUUUUGUUUAUUAAAGUGAGAAUCCACCUGAAAGCAGAAGAGUUGGACUGUAAUCCUGAAAGGUUUAAUAUCGUUUAUGAAUGAAUUUCUCCCAGAACUAAGAGAUAAGACAACCCUCGUAUCACGUGACACUUUUAUGGAAUGGAUAUUGUAUUUAUAAGCUUAUUUUCAGGUUUGAUAUCUUCAGCGUUGCAAUGAAAUUAUUCUUAUCUUGAUUUUAAAAAAGCUCACAGUCUGUUGAGUCAUUGGAACAAAUGUGGAUCACCAUACAAACUGUCCAUCUAAUGCAGUUCACACUUUAUUUGCCAGUCACAUAAAAAUGUGCAGGGAUUUCAUGUUCUGAAAUUGAACAGUCCAACAUUAGAAAUGUGUUUUUCUGGUGGAUUCUCUCUUUAUGUGCAGGAUGUACUUGUGAGUACAGACGCACAGACAAACCAAAGGUCAUUUUAUGCCCAAACUGAUGUUUCUGGAUGUAAAUGUUUUAUGGAGGGAAAAAAAUCUAUAUAUUGCUAUAUUUCUUGGCCAGGUCUUAACAGGUUAUCUUCAGCGAGCCGUUACAGUUUACAGGCCCUUACGGUCUACUGUACCUAUGGAUUGGUACAUAGAAAAGUCUAUAGUAUUCAGCAAAUACUCCGGCUGUGUUCACACUGCAAGUGGCCCAAAUUUGGUGUAUGUCUGUGACUCAAAUCAGUUUUUUUCCUGACAAUGUGAACAGCACAAAUCACAUUUAAAUUCUGAUAUCGGCCGCUCUCAUACGUGGUCCAAAUCAGUCCGAUUCAACCUGACCUGUUCACACUGGAAUCUGUAACGGGCCACAUUUUAAAAAUAAUGUGAACAGGCAAACAAAAACAGUCCGAUCCGACCAAUGAAUCAGAACUGAGCGCUAAGGCUUGCAGUGUGAACUCAGCUUUAUAUGGGCCUUCCGUGUAUACUGAGAUAGUUUCCCACAGAUCAGGUCUGUUGUAGAGAAAUAUCCUUGAAGAAGUGGAAUUUAAGUUUAAUAUGCACUGAUACAUCAUGCAAUCCCUUGUUAAGUGCCUUUUUGAAAUGUUUACCGUCUGUCCGUGUGUCUGGGAACCUCAGGGGAAGUAGGAGUGCAAUGACUUUUUUAUUGUCCAGUCAAUUAUUAACCUGAAUCUCUCUCCCUUCAAUCGCCCAUCAGACGGCUUUUGCUUUUAUCCGAAGCCUUUGUAAAGUCGCCUGGCCAUUAAUUGUUUGAAUAUGGUCUCUCCUCUCAGCUCUCUCUCUCUAUAUAUAUUUGUUCUUUUCAUUCAUGUGUCAUUUUUAGAUCCGUCGGUUUUAUCGCAGCUUCAUGUACAAAAUAGAAACCAGGAAUAAAUGGGAUGGAAACUUA